AUGAACGCUAGCUACAGGCUUAACACAUGCAAGUCGAGGGGCAGCAUGAACUUAGCUUGCUAAGUUUGAUGGCGACCGGCGCACGGGUGAGUAACACGUAUCCAACCUGCCGAUGACUCGGGGAUAGCCUUUCGAAAGAAAGAUUAAUACCCGAUGGCAUAGUUCUUCCGCAUGGUAGAACUAUUAAAGAAUUUCGGUCAUCGAUGGGGAUGCGUUCCAUUAGGUUGUUGGCGGGGUAACGGCCCACCAAGCCUUCGAUGGAUAGGGGUUCUGAGAGGAAGGUCCCCCACAUUGGAACUGAGACACGGUCCAAACUCCUACGGGAGGCAGCAGUGAGGAAUAUUGGUCAAUGGACGAGAGUCUGAACCAGCCAAGUAGCGUGAAGGAUGACUGCCCUAUGGGUUGUAAACUUCUUUUAUACGGGAAUAAAGUGAGGCACGUGUGCCUUUUUGUAUGUACCGUAUGAAUAAGGAUCGGCUAACUCCGUGCCAGCAGCCGCGGUAAUACGGAGGAUCCGAGCGUUAUCCGGAUUUAUUGGGUUUAAAGGGAGCGUAGGCGGACGCUUAAGUCAGUUGUGAAAGUUUGCGGCUCAACCGUAAAAUUGCAGUUGAUACUGGGUGUCUUGAGUACAGUAGAGGCAGGCGGAAUUCGUGGUGUAGCGGUGAAAUGCUUAGAUAUCACGAAGAACUCCGAUUGCGAAGGCAGCCUGCUGGACUGUAACUGACGCUGAUGCUCGAAAGUGUGGGUAUCAAACAGGAUUAGAUACCCUGGUAGUCCACACAGUAAACGAUGAAUACUCGCUGUUUGCGAUAUACAGUAAGCGGCCAAGCGAAAGCGUUAAGUAUUCCACCUGGGGAGUACGCCGGCAACGGUGAAACUCAAAGGAAUUGACGGGGGCCCGCACAAGCGGAGGAACAUGUGGUUUAAUUCGAUGAUACGCGAGGAACCUUACCCGGGUUUGAACGUAGUCUGACCGGAGUGGAAACACUCUUUCUAGCAAUAGCAGAUUACGAGGUGCUGCAUGGUUGUCGUCAGCUCGUGCCGUGAGGUGUCGGCUUAAGUGCCAUAACGAGCGCAACCCUUAUCGAUAGUUACCAUCAGGUGAUGCUGGGGACUCUGUCGAGACUGCCGUCGUAAGAUGUGAGGAAGGUGGGGAUGACGUCAAAUCAGCACGGCCCUUACGUCCGGGGCUACACACGUGUUACAAUGGGGGGUACAGAAGGCAGCUACACGGCGACGUGAUGCUAAUCCCGAAAGCCUCUCUCAGUUCGGAUUGGAGUCUGCAACCCGACUCCAUGAAGCUGGAUUCGCUAGUAAUCGCGCAUCAGCCACGGCGCGGUGAAUACGUUCCCGGGCCUUGUACACACCGCCCGUCAAGCCAUGAAAGCCGGGGGUACCUGAAGUGCGUAACCGCAAGGAGCGCCCUAGGGUAAAACUGGUGAUUGGGGCU
rnacentral:rRNA from 1 species